CAGCGUCUUACUAACAUUGCGUAAGUUUUUCGUAAGUAUUUUCGUAACUUUACGCUUACGUUUAAACUUACGUAAAUCGUUAGUGUGUUUCACAAAACGUUCGUAAGUUUUUUCUUAAACUUACGUUAAAACAGUGCGUAACUCUUCAAAGAAGGUUUUCAGAAUUAGUCGAUAAGGAGGCGUUUUAGUAAUAUUUAUAAUGACCGCAAACAUUUUUGAAAAAGGCUAAACUGGUAUUUCGUAGUCAUCUACGACACUAGUAACUACAGACACUCAUGAAUGUUGCUGAGCAAUUCUUAUUUUUAAGUUCAUAUUGUGCCACACACAGGGGUUUCUCCCGAUUUUAAAUUAAUGCAUUUAUAGAGUAGAAAGGAAAACCCCAUAUGAUCCAUCAUGGAAGAUAUUGAAAGGGUUUUUGUUUGUUCUGAGAAGUGAAAAAACUGUUAUGUCCGCAAGUAAAAAUGUGGAUUUUUUAAAAUAUUUUUAUAUGAAAUAUUUAGCUUAUUCACAUAACCCACAUUUAUAAAAAAAUAUUUUUGUUUCUAUUUAUUUAUUUAUUUAUUUUAUGUCUAUAAAGUAAAGAAAACCCUUUGAUUUUUAGCUCGACUAUUCGAAGAAUAUGAGAGAUAUUGUAGUCGCCCCGGCGUCGGCGUCGGCGUCAGCGUCGGCGUCGGCGUCUGCGUUGGUUAAAGUUUUUUGUAAAGUCAAAUAUCUCAAUUAUUACUUGAGAUAUUCAAUUGAAACUUACAAUACUUAUUUAUAGUAACAAGGUACAUCAGAUUGACAAGUUGGAUAACUCUGCCUACAAUAUUGACAGAAUUAUGCCCCUUUUUAACUUAGAAAUUUUGGUUAAAGUUUUUUGUAAAGUCAAAUAUCUCAAUUAUUGCUUGAGAUAUUCAAUUGAAACUUACAAUACUUAUUUAUAGUAACAAGGUACAUCAGAUUGACAAGUUGGAUAACUCUGCCUACAAUAUUGACAGAAAAUGUAAAGUUUUGCUUGUAAGCUGUUAUCUCAAUAACUACUGAAGGGUUUGUGCCUUUUUUGGGACAAUUUUAUGCAUUCAUAAUAAUAAAGCAGUGAUUUACUUGAUAAAACAUCUUAAUAACAAGCCUUUGUACCUUUUCUGUCAAAUUUAUGUAUUCAUAGGUAAUUAGUAUUAUUAUACUCAAUAAAACACCCUUGUGACAUUACCUUCCGAAUAGUCAAGCCAAUACUGUAUAAUUAGACUCUCUCUAAGGCCUAUAACAUGAAUUUAUAAAAAAAAAUUAGCCCUUUUGUGAACUUAAAAAAUUUAACAUUAUCAAGGCUCUUUUACUAUCAAGCACUUAGAAUAGUCGAGCGUGCUGUCCUACCGACAUCUCUUGUUAAAGAUUUUACGCUAAAACAUGCGUAAAAAGAUGACACAAAAACGCUACAUGCAAACAAAAGAUAUUCACGAUUUUAUCUUAUGGACGUAAUGCUAUCUGAAUAUUUGCAAAUAAAAAACAACUGCAACAGAUAUUUUUAUGUACAUUUGCGAAUCAUACUAUUUAAUGAACAUAUAUAUAGAGGGUAUUCAAGUUUUAACUAUAAAUUCAGGAUUUAUUUUCAUCGAUUUGUAUGAAAAUAAAUAUUUCAUGGGCGACGGUAUCUACGAGUGAUAUAUGCUAUUUUUAUACCAAAAGAUGAAAAUAAAUCCUGUAUUUAUAUUAAAAACAUGAAUUUUCUGUUUAUUAUAUACAUUUUUUACAUUUAAAAAGACUUUCCCUAAAAUUUUGUAUUUUGGCUGAAUUAAACCCAUCAAGACACCUGUGAAAAUAUGGAAAAUUUGUUUCACUUC